GGAAUUUACAAAUAAUAUUAUCAAAAUAAACUAAUUAUCCUCUAACUAAUUUAAACCCACAUUGUUGGAUGAAUUAAACAGUUGGAAUUUAGUUAUCUGCAACUAUUUGAAGCUAGAAUUAACCUUAAUCACUAAUGCUUAUUCGAAAGUAUUUUUUAAAACUUAAACGUUAUCUCGUCUUUGUUUGAACUCAAAUCAUGCCUUAAUGCCUAAUUCACAAAAUUAGUUCAAAUUCAUGCUUUAACUAGAUUUAGCUACAUGUUCACGAUUAACCUACUGUUAUCAAUACUAAAACCUUCAUAGCUAGUGAACUAACCAGUUUUACCAAGCCGAUUCAAUAAAAACCAAAUAACGUUAUUUUCCUCUUAUUCCAAUUAUUAAGCUGUUUGACAGUAAUGAGCAUGCUUAAAGAUAUACUACAUAAUAACCAAACUAAAAUAGAAUAUUAUUUAGUACAUCGCUACAAGCUGCCUAAUUAUGCAAAGCGACAGAAAUUUACAGAAUAAUAAUAUAUGAAAUAGCCUAAAUGAAAUCAGUAAAAAACAAAGAAAAAGCUAAAUUAAAACUUCAAAGUUCCGUUCUUCUUAUGUAUUCAUGCUUUCACAUUUCAGCUUACAAUAUCGAUAAUGUUAUAGCCACAUACAUGGUAUUGCAAGUAAAAGAAGAGAAAGAUCAGCAGAAAAGUAGUAGCAUACAACAACAGUGACACACAGCAACAACCAAUAAUAACCAACAACAACCAACAACACAAACCUAGGGACAGACUUGAAAAACCAACAAAGAUCCAGGAAUAACCAAUGAAGUAUUAGCAAAUACUCAAAUAGCAACCAAGAAAAAGCAGAAAGAACCAGAAGCAAUAGAGUAGUAGUUUUCUGAUUUUCAUAUACUCAAGGAAAAAAAAGCUUGAAGCUUUAAUGGAAUAACAUCAAACUAAAAAUAAUUUUAAGGUUCAAAAUACAACCUCUAUUUCACUCUUUGAGUACUAGACCUUCUUUAUGUUUUCUAAAUUCCAGCAUAUUUUUUAAUUUAAAUUCUGAAUUUUUAGUCUUCAAAAAUCCACUCUUCAUUAUGUCCAAGUUUGUCUAUUGAUCUCCCAAAACAUACCCUUUUCAGCCCUCCUUUUUCUUUUUCUGAGGUCAAAGAAAACUAUUUAUUAUUACCCUUAUAGGAAAUCAUUCUAUCCAUGAUAUGUGUGCUUUUGCUAUCUUAUGUUUGACACUAUCAAUUGGUAUUCCCAAAAGGGGGAAAUGUCAAAAGGGGAAAGUAGCCUGUGUAUACUCUCUUUUUGCUAAUGCCAAUAGGGGGAAGAAAUUAGGCGAUAUGCAUCUAA
rnacentral:lncRNA from 1 species